UUUCCCUACGGGGGGCAGCAGUCGGGAAUAUUGCGCAAUGGAGGAAACUCUGACGCAGUGACGCCGCGUGCAGGAAGAAGGUUUUCGGAUUGUAAACUGCUUUAGACAGGGAAGAAAAAAGACAGUACCUGUAGAAUAAGCUCCGGCUAACUACGUGCCAGCAGCCGCGGUAAUACGUAGGGAGCAAGCGUUAUCCGGAUUUAUUGGGUGUAAAGGGUGCGUAGACGGGAAAACAAGUUAGUUGUGAAAUCCCUCAGCUUAACUGAGGAACUGCAACUAAAACUAUUUUUCUUGAGUGCUGGAGG
rnacentral:rRNA from 1 species